CAGAUAGGUUGGAGACGGUCCAUUUCUGGUGAUAUCUAGGGACAUCAGGAUCUGAAAGAAGGACAUGGGUUCCAAAGAAUCUGAUCCCAGUUUCACGGUGGAGUGUGUUUGGUAUUAAGCUGCAGUGAAAUAAAA